rnacentral:rRNA from 1 species
GAGGAAGUAAAAGUCGUAACAAGGUCUCCGUUGGUGAACCAGCGGAGGGAUCAUUACUGAGUUUUUAACUCUUAAACCAUAUGUGAACAUACCUUUUUAGCUGCUUUGGCAGGCUUGGUAAAAACAAGUCUGCCGGUAGUAUUUAAAAAAAACUCUUUAAUAUUUCUAGAGAAUUUAUUUUCAUUGCUGAGUGGCAUUAAACAUAAUAAGUUAAAACUUUCAACAACGGAUCUCUUGGCUCUAGCAUCGAUGAAGAACGCAGCGAAAUGCGAUACGUAAUGUGAAUUGCAGAAUUCAGUGAAUCAUCGAAUCUUUGAACGCACAUUGCGCCUGGCAGUAUUCUGCCAGGCAUGCCUGUCCGAGCGUCAUUUCACCACUCAAGCUCUGCUUGGUGUUGGAGGACCCGCAUCUUUUUGCGGGCCGCCGAAAUGCAUCGGCUGUUAUAUUUGCAGCUUCCCUGUGUAGUAAUAUUUAUUUUACGCUUUGAAACUCUUUUACAACAUGCCGUAAAAACCCCAAUUAAAUUAAUUUUUAAUUUUUGAAAGGUUGACCUCGGAUCAGGUAGGAAUACCCGCUGAACUUAAGCAUAUC